rnacentral:rRNA from 1 species
AGAGUUUGAUCAUGGCUCAGAAUCAACGCUGGCGGCGCGCCUAACACAUGCAAGUCGAACGAGAAAGUGGAGCAAUCCAUGAGUACAGUGGCGUACGGGUGAGUAACACGUGGGUAAUCUACCUCUUAGUGGGGAAUAACUCUGGGAAACCGGAGCUAAUACCGCAUAAGCUCGAGAGAGGAAAGCAGCAAUGCGCUGAGAGAGGAGCCCGCGGCCGAUUAGCUAGUUGGCAGGGUAAGAGCCUACCAAGGCAAAGAUCGGUAGCCGGCCUGAGAGGGCACACGGCCACACUGGCACUGAAACACGGGCCAGACUCCUACGGGAGGCAGCAGUGGGGAAUCUUGCACAAUGGGGGAAACCCUGAUGCAGCGACGCCGCGUGAGCGAUGAAGCCCUUCGGGGUGUAAAGCUCUUUCGGCAGGGAAGAUGGUGACGGUACCUGCAGAAGCAGCUGCGGCUAACUACGUGCCAGCAGCCGCGGUAAUACGUAGGCAGCGAGCGUUGUUCGGAGUUACUGGGCGUAAAGGGUGUGUAGGCGGUUGUUUAAGUUUGGUGUGAAAUCUCCCGGCUCAACUGGGAGGGUGCGCCGAAUACUGAGCGACUAGAGUGCGGGAGAGGAAAGUGGAAUUCCUGGUGUAGCGGUGAAAUGCGUAGAUAUCAGGAGGAACACCGGUGGUGUAGACGGCUUUCUGGACCGUAACUGACGCUGAGACACGAAAGCGUGGGUAGCAAACAGGAUUAGAUACCCUAGUAGUCC